UACGUAGGUGGCAAGCGUUGUCCGGAUUUACUGGGCGUAAAGGGAGCGUAGGCGGAUACUUAAGUGGGAUGUGAAAUACCUGGGCUUAACUUGGGUGCUGCAUUCCAAACUGGGUGUCUAGAGUGUUGGAGAGGAAAGUGGAAUUCCUAGUGUAGCGGUGAAAUGCGUAGAGAUUAGGAAGAACACCAGUGGCGAAGGCGACUUUCUGGACAAUAACUGACGCUGAGGCUCGAAAGCGUGGGGAGCAAACAGGAUUAGAUACCCUGGUAGUCCACGCCGUAAACGAUGGGUACUAGGUGUAGGAGGUAUCAACUCCUCCUGUGCCGCCGUUAACACAAUAAGUACCCCGCCUGGGGAGUACGGUCGCAAGAUUAAA
rnacentral:rRNA from 1 species